rnacentral:rRNA from 1 species
UACAGGAGGUGGCAAGCGUUGUUCGGAAUUACUGGGCGUAAAGGGCGCGUAGGCGGUCUUUUAAGUUCCGUGAUGAAAUCCCUCGGCUCAACUGGGGAACGGCACGGGAAACUGGAAGGCUUGAGUUCGGGUAGAGGGAAGCGGAAUUCCGGGUGUAGCGGUGAAAUGCGUAGAUAUCCGGAGGAACACCGGUGGCGAAGGCGGCUUCCUGGACCGACACUGACGCUGAGGCG